rnacentral:piRNA from 1 species
UGGGUNUCAUGAUCUAGAGGUUAAGACCCGC